UACGAGGGGGGGCGAGCGUUGUUCGGAAUUAUUGGGCGUAAAGGGUGCGUAGGCGGUUUGGUAAGUCUUGUGUGAAAUCUACAGGCUCAACUUGUAGUCUGCACGAGAAACUGCCGGGCUUGAGUGUGGGAGAGGUGAGUGGAAUUCCUGGUGUAGCGGUGAAAUGCGUAGAUAUCAAGAGGAACACCUGUGGCGAAAGCGGCUCACUGGACCAUAACUGACGCUGAUGCACGAAAGCUAGGGGAGCAAACAGG
rnacentral:rRNA from 1 species